rnacentral:rRNA from 1 species
AGUGAACGCUGGCGGUAGGCCUAACACAUGCAAGUCGAACGGCAGCACAGUAAGAGCUUGCUCUUACGGGUGGCGAGUGGCGGACGGGUGAGGAAUACAUCGGAAUCUACUUUUUCGUGGGGGAUAACGUAGGGAAACUUACGCUAAUACCGCAUACGACCUACGGGUGAAAGCAGGGGAUCUUCGGACCUUGCGCGAUUGAAUGAGCCGAUGUCGGAUUAGCUAGUUGGCGGGGUAAAGGCCCACCAAGGCGACGAUCCGUAGCUGGUCUGAGAGGAUGAUCAGCCACCAUGGAACUGAGACACGGUCCAGACUCCUACGGGAGGCAGCAGUGGGGAAUAUUGGACAAUGGGCGCAAGCCUGAUCCAGCCAUACCGCGUGGGUGAAGAAGGCCUUCGGGUUGUAAAGCCCUUUUGUUGGGAAAGAAAAGCAGCAGGUUAAUACCCCGCUGUUCUGACGGUACCCAAAGAAUAAGCACCGGCUAACUUCGUG